AAUAUUGCGCAAUGGGGGAAACCCUGACGCAGCGACGCCGCGUGAACGAUGAAGGCCUUCGGGUCGUAAAGUUCUGUCCUCAGGGAAGAAUGUGGUCAUUUAUGACGCCUUGACGGUACCUGAGGAGGAAGCCCCGGCUAACUACGUGCCAGCAGCCGCGGUAAUACGUAGGGGGCGAGCGUUGUCCGGAAUUACUGGGCGUAAAGGGUGCGUAGGCGGCCCUUUAAGUCAGAUGUGAAAGGCCACGGCUUAACCGUGGAACUGCAUUUGAAACUGGAGGGCUUGAGUGUCGGAGAGGGUAGUGGAAUUCCCAGUGUAGCGGUGGAAUGCGUAGAUAUUGGGAGGAACACCAGUGGCGAAGGCGACUACCUGGACGAAAACUGACGCUGAGGCACGAAAGCUAGGGGAGCAAAC
rnacentral:rRNA from 1 species